GAUGAACGCUGGCGGCGUGCCUAACACAUGCAAGUCGAGCGAUUUACUUCGGUAAAGAGCGGCGGACGGGUGAGUAACGCGUGGGUAACCUGCCCUGUACACACGGAUAACAUACCGAAAGGUAUGCUAAUACGAGAUAAUGUGCUUUUAUCGCAUGAGAGAAGUAUCAAAGCUUUUGCGGUACAGGAUGGACCCGCGUCUGAUUGGCUAGUUGGUAAGGUAACGGCUUACCAAGGCGACGAUCAGUAGCAGACCUGAGAGGGUGAUCGGCCACAUUGGAACUGAGACACGGUCCAAACUCCUACGGGAGGCAGCAGUGGGGAAUAUUGCACAAUGGGCGAAAGCCUGAUGCAGCAACGCCGCGUGAGCGAUGAAGGCCUUCGGGUCGUAAAGCUCUGUCCUCAAGGAAGAUAAUGACGGUACUUGAGGAGGAAGCCCCGGCUAACUACGUGCCAGCAGCCGCAGUAA
rnacentral:rRNA from 1 species